CCUGCGGCGGUGUCGUCGGCGGUGUCUGCGGCGGUGUCGUCAGCGGUGUCUGCGGCAGUGUCUGUGACAAUGUCGUCGGCGGUGUCUGCGGCAGUGUCUGCGGCAGUGUCGUCGGCUGUGUCUGCGGAGGUUUCGGUGGCCCUGUCGGGGGCGGUGUCGAAAAGGGGCAGCCUGAGACGCUUCACCAUACUUCGACCGCAGGCUGCGGGCGCUUGGAGCACCCCGACGCGGGAG